UCAAGGUCUACAAAUAUUAUUGCCAACUAAUGUCAAAAACCAAAAACCAUAAACAGGAAGUUAAACUAAAAGCGAUGGAAAUAUUGGACAGACUUGAUAGUAAAUUUAUCGGUGCGCACAUUGGCGAUUUUGGUAUAUUCAAACCAGUUACUUGCAUAAAUUUGCUAUUGGAAAAUGCUUGCUUCAUUAUGCUUCUAUCAUGCAAUAUACGUGCAUUUAUUUGACUCACAAGGGAAGUGUCUCCGGUGUCUCAAUAAUUUCCGAUCGGGACUAUGUUCAUUCGAUAGAGCAUAAAAAACUAGAAUAAGGGUUUGUCGGCUUUGAAUAGGAAAC